rnacentral:rRNA from 1 species
CGUGUGGUUCUAUUUUGUUGGUUUCUAGGACCGCCGUAAUGAUUAAUAGGGACAGUCGGGGGCAUCAGUAUUCAAUUGUCAGAGGUGAAAUUCUUGGAUUUAUUGAAGACUAACUACUGCGAAAGCAUUUGCCAAGGAUGUUUUCAUUAAUCAGGAACGAAAGUUAGGGGAUCGAAGACGAUCAGAUACCGUCGUAGUCUUAACCAUAAACUAUGCCGACUAGGGAUCGGACGAUGUUACAUUUUUGACGCGUUCGGCACCUUACGAGAAAUCAAAGUGCUUGGGCUCCAGGGGGAGUAUGGUCGCAAGGCUGAAACUCAAAGAAAUUGACGGAAGGGCACCACCAGGGGUGGAGCCUGCGGCUUAAUUUGACUCAACACGGGGAAACUCACCAGGUCCAGACACAAUGAGGAUUGACAGAUUGAGAGCUCUUUCUUGAUUUUGUGGGUGGUGGUGCAUGGCCGUUCUUAGUUGGUGGAGUGAUUUGUCUGCUUAAUUGCGAUAACGAACGAGACCUUAACCUGCUAAAUAGCCCGUAUUGCUUUGGCAGUACGCCGGCUUCUUAGAGGGACUAUCGGCUCAAGCCGAUGGAAGUUUGAGGCAAUAACAGGUCUGUGAUGCCCUUAGAUGUUCUGGGCCGCACGCGCGCUACACUGACGGAGCCAGCGAGUACUCCCUUGGCCGGAAGGCCUGGGUAAUCUUGUUAAACUCUGUCGUGC